AAGAAUUUAAGUUAAUAAAUAACAUUAGUUUGUCAUCCUAAAAUAAUUGAUUAAUCAAUAAUUUUUA
rnacentral:tRNA from 1 species